AAUCACUACUAGGGGUGCCUUUAAGUAUAGGCUGAGAGAAAAGCGCUAAAAAGCUUUUCAACUCUUAAGGACCUGAUCUGGUUUAUGCCAGCGGAGGGAAGUAGCUAAACUAAAUU
rfam:Gracilibacillus kekensis strain CGMCC 1.10681 genome assembly, contig: Ga0079828_101